UACGAAGGGAGCUAGCGUUGUUCGGAAUCACUGGGCGUAAAGCGCACGUAGGCGGUUGUGUCAGUCAGGGGUGAAAUCCCGGAGCUCAACUUCGGAACUGCCUCUGAUACAGCACGUCUUGAGUCCGAUAGAGGUGGGUGGAAUUCCUAGUGUAGAGGUGAAAUUCGUAGAUAUUAGGAAGAACACCGGUGGCGAAGGCGGCCCACUGGAUCGGUACUGACGCUGAGGUGCGAAAGCGUGGGGAGCAAACAGG
rnacentral:rRNA from 1 species